rnacentral:rRNA from 1 species
GACGAACGCUGGCGGCGCGCCUAACACAUGCAAGUCGAACGAGCGAGCGAGAGCUUGCUUUCUCGAGCGAGUGGCGAACGGGUGAGUAACGCGUGAGGAACCUGCCUCAAAGAGGGGGACAACAGUUGGAAACGACUGCUAAUACCGCAUAAGCCCACGGGUCGGCAUCGACCAGAGGGAAAAGGAGCAAUCCGCUUUGAGAUGGCCUCGCGUCCGAUUAGCUAGUUGGUGAGGUAAUGGCCCACCAAGGCGACGAUCGGUAGCCGGACUGAGAGGUUGAACGGCCACAUUGGGACUGGGACACGGCCCAGACUCCUACGGGAGGCAGCAGUGGGGAAUAUUGCACAGUGGGGGAAACCCUGAUGCAGCGACGCCGCGUGGAGGAAGAAGGUCUUCGGAUUGUAAACUCCUGUUGUUGGGGAAGAUAAUGACGGUACCCAACAAGAAAGUGACGGCUAACUACGU